GACAGAGGGUGCGAGCGUUGUUCGGAAUUACUGGGCGUAAAGCGCGCGCAGGCGGAUCCUGUAAGUCGGAAGUGAAAUGUGGCUGCUCAACGGCCACGCUGCUUCUGAUACUGCGGAUCUGGGGACCGGUAGAGGCUGGUGGAAUUGCAGGUGUAGCGGUGGAAUGCGUAGAGAUCUGCAAGAACACCCGUGGCGAAGGCGGCCAGCUGGGCCGGAUCCGACGCUGAGGCGCGAAAGCGUGGGGAGCAAACAGGAUUAGAAACCCUCGUAGUCC
rnacentral:rRNA from 1 species